rnacentral:rRNA from 1 species
UUGACAUGCAGAGAACUUUCCAGAGAUGGAUUGGUGCCUUCGGGAACUCUGACACAGGUGCUGCAUGGCUGUCGUCAGCUCGUGUCGUGAGAUGUUGGGUUAAGUCCCGUAACGAGCGCAACCCUUGUCCUUAGUUACCAGCACGUUAUGGUGGGCACUCUAAGGAGACUGCCGGUGACAAACCGGAGGAAGGUGGGGAUGACGUCAAAUCAGCACGGCCCUUACGUCCAGGGCUACACACGUGUUACAAUGGCCAGUACAGAGGGCAGCCACCCCGCGAGGGGGCGCUAAUCCUAAAAGCUGGUCCCAGUUCGGAUCGGAGUCUGCAACCCGACUCCGUGAAGCUGGAUUCGCUAGUAAUCGCGCAUCAGCCACGGCGCGGUGAAUACGUUCCCGGGCCUU